rnacentral:tRNA from 1 species
UGCACCGAUAGCUCAAUUGGAUAGAGUAUCCGGCUUCGAACCGGAUGGUUACAGGUUCGAGUCCUGUUCGGUGCAA